CAGCUCCGGCCAAAGCUGGACCCAGCCUUGGAGGCCUUUUCCAACCUCCAUCAUUCCAUGAUUCCCUCCUCAUUUCUUCCAGCCUCUCCCUGCCACUCCUCUCCUGAAAUCCAAAGGGACACCACGGAAUGCUGAGAUUCCUCACACCCAUCAGAGCAUUUCCUGCAGGAAUCAUUGACCCCAUCCAGCACCCGACCUGCGAGGAGCCGCGGCCUGAUUCCUGCGGGACAAGCUGGGUUCAACACCAGUUAUUGCACAUUUCGGUCGGGGCCUGGGAAGAAGCAGAGCCCUCGAGGUCUGAGGCCUGCAGGUGGCAGAGGGCAGGGGAGGCCAUGGGGAAAGCUCAGCCCCAGCCUGGUACAUGCAAAUCGCUGAUUAAAGGAAGUGUUAAGAGAGCAUUCAAUGGGAGAUGAAUAUUGUGGCAUCGUUAGGAAGAAAUUCAGCCUGAGGAGGGGCACAGGGCUUGCUGUGAGAGGAAGAGAAGAAAAUUCCUUUCUUCCCUCUUAUUUUUAAUACAUUUGUCACCUCAAACCCCAUGAGAGCCAUUGUCGACGGCAAUCCAAAAUCAAAACCGGACUUUUUGUCUUAAAAGCCAUUCUCUCAUUAAAACAGGAAUUAAUUCAGAGAAGUUUAUGGCUGGGCUCCAGCUGAAGCUCCUUCUGGCUCCAUUAUUGACUGAUCUGCUGCAUGUGGAGCCGCAGGACUGAGGGGUUGAACUCCGUGCAAUAAAUAUUGAAGGCUAUUUAAAUGGAAAAGGGAA
rnacentral:lncRNA from 1 species